rnacentral:rRNA from 1 species
AUUGAACGCUGGCGGCAUGCUUUACACAUGCAAGUCGAGCGGCAGCGCGGGGGCAACCCUGGCGGCGAGCGGCGAACGGGUGAGUAAUACAUCGGAACGUGUCCCGUAGUGGGGGAUAGCCCGGCGAAAGCCGGAUUAAUACCGCAUAUGCUCUACGGAGGAAAGUGGGGGACUCGCAAGGGCCUCACGCUAUGGGAGCGGCCGAUGUCCGAUUAGCUUGUUGGCGGGGAAUGGCCCACCAAGGCGACGAUCGGUAGCUGGUCUGAGAGGAUGAUCAGCCACACUGGGACUGAGACACGGCCCAGA